ACUUUGAAAAGAGGGUUAAAAGACUUGAAAUCGUUGAGAAGGAAGGUAAGGAAGCUGGCCAAUGUAGGUGAUGCUUUACGAAAGCUAAGGUGGAUGGUUUCCUCAAAAGGACCUGAAGCUGGAGCCGAGGAAGAGCCUCUCCCUGCUGAAGACAAGAUCAUGCUCGCGACUGUUGAAAGGUGUGUUGUUUACCGUCAAACGUAACUGCGCACUUACGCACUCCGAAGCAUGAGGGGCUUUUGCGAUCUUGUCGAAACGGCUUUCUUACAACCGUCUUGAAACACGGACCAAGGAGUCAAACACAUAAGCGAGUUUGCGGGUGUUAAACCCAUAGGCGAAAUGAAAGUGAGUAUAAGGUGCCAAGGAGCAAUCCAGCAGCAUCAGCCGCCGUUGAUCUUCUGUGAAACGCGUGAGCAAGAGCUUAUUUGUUUGGACCCGAAAGAUGGUGAACUAUGCUUGAGUAGGGUGAAGCCAGGAGAAAUUCUGGUGGAGGCUCGAAGCGGUACUGACGUGCAAAUCGUUCGUCAAACUUGAGUAUAGGGGCGAAAGACUAAUCGAACCAUCUAGUAGCUGGUUCCCUCUGAAGUUUCUCUCAGGAUAGCUAGAGCAAUCAUGCAGUUUUGCUAGGUAAAGCUAAUGAUUAGAGGUUACGGGGGUCCAGUGCCCUCGGCCUAUUCUCAAACUUUAAAUUGGUAAGAACCUGAGGUUUUCUUAAUUGAACCGAGGGGUAGAAUGCAUGCUCUAAGUGGGCCAUUUUUGGUAAGCAGAACUGGCGAUGAGGGAUGAACCUAACGUUGAGUUAAGGCGCCUAAAUUCGCAAUCAUUGGACACCAUAAAAGGCGUUGUUUCAUUCAGACAACAGGACGGUAUCCAUAAUAGUAGGAAUCCGCUAAGGAGUGUCUUCAAACUCACCUGUUUAAUGGAUCAGCCCUGAAAAUGGAUGGCGCUACAUUGCGAUGCCGAUACUCGACCAUUAGAGCUAUUAUGAUGCUCUAAUGAGUAAGAGGGCGUGGGCAUAGUGUCGAAGCCGAGACGUGAGUCUAGGUGGAACUGUGCUUAGUGCAGAUCUUGGUGGUAGUAGCAAUUAUUCAAAUGAGAACUUUGAAGGCCGAAGUGGAGAAGGGUUCCAUGAGAACAGUAUUUGGUCAUGGGUUACUCGGUCCUAAAGCAUAGGUUAACUCCUUUAUUUAUGUGCUUUUUGCACGAUGCUGAAAGGGAAUGAGGUUAAUAUUCCUCAAGCUGGUCGAGGAUAUUUUGCGGUAACGCAACCAAGCUCGGAGACGCCAGCGUGGACUCCUGAAAGAAUUUUCUUUUCUUUUUAACUGAUUAUCGCCCUGGAAUUGGAUUAUCCAGAGAGAGGGCUUUAAGUCAGGAAGAGCAGCCUACUUUUUGGGUUGUCAGGUGCGUCUACGAUGGUCAGUGAAAAUCCGGGGGAGAUUAUUAUUUGCUCGCCAGUCCGUACCAACAACCGCAUCAGGUCUCCAAGGUUAGCAGCCUCUGGUCGAUAGAAUAAUGUAGAUAAGGGAAUUCGGCAAAUUAGAUCCGUAACUUUGGGAAAAGGAUUGGCUCUGAAGAAUGGGAGUUCGAGAACCUUCGGAAGAUUGAGAUUCUGAAUGGUGGGAGGUCAAACUCCUGCCAGGAUGAGUCGAGAUACGAUGUUGCGUGAUUGGGCUCGUAAAACAUUCAAUUCAGAACUGAAGCGGACAAGGGGAUUCUAACUGUUUAAUAAAAACACAGCAAAGUGAUGGCCUGAAAAGGUUUUGACACUUUGUUAAUCCUGCCCAGUGCUUUGUACGUUAAUGUGAUGAAAGUUGAGCAAGCACAGGUAAACGGCGGAAGUAACUAUGACUUUCUUAAGGUAGCGAAAUGCCUCGGCAUGUAAUUUGUGUCCUGCAUGAAUGGAUCAAUAAGGUUCCUACUGUCCCUAUCUACUAUCUAGCGAACCCACAGCCAAGGGAACGGGCUUGGCAAAAUCAGCGGGGAAAGAAGACCCUGUUGAGCUUGACUCUAGUCUGACUUUGUGAAAUGAAUAAAGCGGUGUAGCCUUAGCUGGGAGCCUUGCGUCAAUGAAAAACCAGUACGCUUUGAUUCAUUUUACUUAUUCCGUGAGGUAGAAUGCCUUUACGGGCUUUUCUAGUUUUAAGGUCGUCUAACGGCUUGAUCUAGGCGGAAGACAUAGUCAGGUGGGGAGUUUGGCUGGGGCGGUACAUCUGUUAAACGUCAACGCAGGUGUCCUAUGGAAAGCUCAAAGAGAACAGAAAUCUCUUGUAGACUAAAAGGGGAAAAGCUUUCUUGAUUUUGACCAUCAGUGUCGGUACAAACCGCGAAAGCGUGGCCUAUCGAUCCUUUAACUUUACAAGUAUUAAGCUAGAGGUGCCAGAAAAGUUACCACAGGGAUAACUGACUUGUGGCAGCCA
rnacentral:rRNA from 1 species